GUUACUGAUCGGACGAGUGAGACGGAGAGCAGAGCUAACAGUUUAUCACACAUUUAUUAAACAGUCUGUGAUUCCGAGCUGAUUAAAUAAUCACAGUUUAAGAGUUUUAGAUGGUUUUGAGUUCAAAUUAAACCGGUUUGGUCCGGUUUGGUCCGGUUUGGUCCCGUUUUGGUGAGUCAUAUCCGGGACUUUUCCCCAGACGGUUGAUCUGAGAGACUGAGGAGUUCCAGAAGCAGGCGACACCCAGACCACCGCAGGGGCUUCGGUUAAAGAGGUCCAGGAUCUGGUCCAGGACUUUGGAUUUGCCUGUUUCUUCGUUGGAAUUCCAGAUAAGAUUUAACAUUAUUCCAAAAAGGAGCCCCCACACUAUUUAACUAACCAGCUGAACAAGAAAGAAACAGUUUGACUGAACUUAAAAACUGUAAAAGAAUAAAUGAGGAUUAAAGAAAUGAAUAAUGUUUGUACCCGGGUACAGAAACACUCCCCACAGGAGAGAACAGGUGAACUUAUAUUCUGUUUACUGGUCAUUUAAAAAUCAAAACAGAGCUCUGAUCAAACACAGAAGAUGAGUGACGUCAUGAAUAAUACAUCCUUUUAUUAUACAGGGAAUGGUGCUGAUGUGUGAUAGGACAAAGAGCAAUAACAAAGAAGCACUCGUAGAGGCAAGGAGUUACUUUCCUUGAAACUGAACUCAGCAUUUUCUGUGCUUCUCUUUUAAAGCGUGAACAUCAUGACAAUAUUGAUCUAAGGCUUUUUAAAAGGAAUGCAUUUAAAUAAACAAUUAAAGCAUUUCUAGGAGUG